GCGCGUCCCGCUCUCGGGGGCAGCCGCCGGGCCUGCAUUUCUUGCAGCCCUCAAGGCCCCUCGGUGUCAGCGAAAGAGCCCUCAUGUUGUACCUCGGCGCCCCGCGGGAAUGCCCACCCAGCAGAGCCGGCCCACGGGGAGUCAGGCUGCCGGCCCGGGCCCCUAGGCUCCGCCCGCUUCUGGUCAGCGCCCCUCGCCCCCGGCCCGCCUGGCCGCGUCCCAGUCGCCAGGGUUUUCGGCCCGUGGGCCGGGAGAGCUCCCGCCGCGGCCCCGCGGGCGCCGGCCCCCUGGCCUCCACACCCCUAGGUACAGCCCGGGGAGGGCAGGCGGGCCCAGUGUCCAGGGAGGGAGUGCAGGCCAGGCGGGCGCCCUGGGCCAGAGGCAAGCCUGGCGCCGGCAUCCCAGGUUCCCUUGAGGGUCGAGGACCGCCAAACCCUGGGGAGGAGCGGGGGUUUAAACAAUUUAGCUUCUGCUAGGAUGCGAAGCCAAAGGGAGUAAUGGGUGCUGAUGGGCUUCGCAAACGGAGUCCGAAGGAAAUGGAUUGUUAAAGGCGUUCGGGCCCUGCUGCUUUAGUGAAUAGUUCACACCCGUUUUCGCAGCGGAGAUGUCGGCCACUGGGAAGAAUCAAGGACCAAGUUUCUGAUUGGGAUUAGCAGUGACAGCCUGGUCUUUAUCCACUACACAGGUUUCCUGUUGGCGGGGAAAUAAGAGGAAAAAUGGGAAAGGAAAUUCACGAAGUCGAAGUUGUGUGGUUAGAAAGUCCAGCUUUAUGACUCAAGCCUGUCGUGGAAGGGAUGAGAGCAGGACCUGUACCUAGACUUUUUACUUAAUAUUUUGGCACUGCCCUUGUGGUAGGGAAUUUGCAGCGCUCUAGUUGUUAAACUGGAAGGACAUUCAUUCUGCAACUUGUACCUCUUGCUUGAUCUGGGCCCAGAGAUAACUUACAUGUAUCUUCUUUAAACUUAUUUUUCCAAAUUAUUGUGGUUACUUUGAACACAAUUUGUUUCCAGAAAUUUU
rnacentral:lncRNA from 1 species